rnacentral:rRNA from 1 species
GUAACGCGUAUCCAACCUGCCCUUCACCACGGGAUAACCCGGCGAAAGUCGGACUAAUACCGUAUGUUGUCCAUUGACGGCAUCCGAUUUGGACGAAAGGCUUGGCGGUGAGGGAUGGGGAUGCGUCCGAUUAGCCAGACGGCGGGGUAACGGCCCACCGUGGCGACGAUCGGUAGGGGUUCUGAGAGGAAGGUCCCCCACACUGGAACUGAGACACGGUCCAGACUCCUACGGGAGGCAGCAGUGAGGAAUAUUGGUCAAUGGGCGUAAGCCUGAACCAGCCAAGUAGCGUGCAGGACGACGGCCCUAUGGGUUGUAAACUGCUUUUAUGCGGGGAUAAAGUGGCCCACAUGUGGGUUUUUGCAGGUACCGCAUGAAUAAGGACCGGCUAAUUCCGUGCCAGCAGCCGCGGUAAUACGGAAGGUCCGGGCGUUAUCCGGAUUUAUUGGGUUUAAAGGGAGCGUAGGCCGCGCCUUAAGCGUGUUGUGAAAUCCGGGUGCUCAACAUCCGGCUUGCAGCGCGAACUGGGGCGCUUGAGUGCGCAGAAAGUAGGCGGAAUUCGUGGUGUAGCGGUGAAAUGCUUAGAUAUCACGAGGAACUCCGAUUGCGAAGGCAGCCUACUGUAGCGCUACUGACGCUGAUGCUCGAAAGCGUGGGUAUCGAACAGGAUUAGAUACCCUGGUAGUCCACGCGGUAAACGAUGGAUGCUCGUUGUCGGCCCUUUGGGUCGGUGACCAAGCGAAAGCGUUAAGCAUCCCACCUGGGGAGUACGCCGGCAACGGUGAAACUCAAAGGAAUUGACGGC